rnacentral:rRNA from 1 species
GACGACGCUGGCGGCGUGACUUAAAACAUGCAAGUCGAACGGACUUCUCAAUGAAGCUUGCGAUUGAGAAGUUAGUGGCGGACGGGUGAGUAACGCGUGGGCAACCUGCCCCUGAGCCCGGGAUAACAGUUCGAAAGGACUGCUAAGACCGGAUAUACUUGCGGUGAAGCAUUUCACUGCAAGGAAAGGGAACGCUCAGGGAUGGGCCCGCGUCCCAUUAGCUAGUUGGUGAGGUAACGGCCCACCAAGGCGACGAUGGGUAGCCGGCCUGAGAGGGUGAACGGCCACACUGGGACUGAGACACGGCCCAGACUCCUACGGGAGGCAGCAGUUGGGAAUCUUCGGCAAUGGGCGCAAGCCUGACGGAGCAACGCCGCGUGGGUGAAGAAGGCCUUCGGGUUGUAAAGCCCUGUCUUAUGGGAAGAAGUCAGUGACGGUACCAUAGGAGGAAGCCACGGCUAACUACGUG